rnacentral:piRNA from 1 species
UCCGUAAGAUGGUACAUGUGUUUACAUA